UGUGAGUGAUGACAAACCUUUCCUCGACUUCAUUUGUGGGGGUAAAAACUGAUUUAAUGAGCCUGACAC